rnacentral:rRNA from 1 species
UACGUAGGGUGCGAGCGUUGUCCGGAAUUAUUGGGCGUAAAGAGCUCGUAGGCGGCUUGUCGCGUCGGAUGUGAAAGCCCGGGGCUUAACUCCGGGUCUGCAUUCGAUACGGGCAGACUAGAGUGCGGUAGGGGAGAUUGGAAUUCCUGGUGUAGCGGUGAAAUGCGCAGAUAUCAGGAGGAACACCGGUGGCGAAGGCGGGUCUCUGGGCCGAUACUGACGCUGAGGAGCGAAAGUGUGGGGAGCAAACAGG